rnacentral:rRNA from 1 species
AUUGAACGCUGGCGGCAUGCCUUACACAUGCAAGUCGAACGGUAACGGGCCUUCGGGUGCCGACGAGUGGCGAACGGGUGAGUAAUACAUCGGAACGUGCCCGAUCGUGGGGGAUAACGAGGCGAAAGCUUUGCUAAUACCGCAUACGAUCUACGGAUGAAAGCGGGGGACCGCAAGGCCUUGCGCGGACGGGGCGGCCGAUGGCAGAUUAGGUAGUUGGUGGGUUAAAAGCUUACCAAGCCGACGAUCUGUAACUGGUCUGAGAGGAUGAUCAGCCACACUGGGACUGAGACACGGCCCAGACUCCUACGGGAGGCAGCAGUGGGGAAUUUUGGACAAUGGGCGCAAGCCUGAUCCAGCCAUGCCGCGUGCAGGAUGAAGGCCUUCGGGUUGUAAACUGCUUUUGUACGGAACGAAAAGCCUUCUUUUAAUACAGGAGGGUCAUGACGGUACCGUAAGAAUAAGCACCGGCUAACUACGUG